UAAUUUCACAGAUUUGUCAUAGCCAAUCAGAGAACGAGAAAAUUUUCACAAGUCACGUGACCUAACUGAAAAAUGUGAGGAAACUCCCUUCCGCUCACUUCCGCUUCCGGCCCGCUUUCAACGUCCACCGUUUUUUGAUCACUGUAGAUUUCUCUUCAAAUUUGGGUUGGUAGAACUGCGGCCGGUCGCCAUCUUGUUUGAGAAAUGCUACCUUCCGGCGACCACGCCCCAUCGUUCACAUCGAGCAGCAGAUUUUUUCCAAAUUUGAUUAAAAACAGAAGAAAAUGGAGAGAUAUAAUAAUGACUGAGGUAUUAUUUCCGGUCUUUUUCGGAAAAUGACGGAUGUUUGGAACUUGACCCGUCAGAGCAAUCACUCCAAAUUGGGAUCCCUCCAUCUAUUUGAAGAGAACUGACUGGAAAGAAAGAGAGACAGAGAUAAUAAUAAAGAAGGACAAGUAAUAUUGAUGGUUGUUGAUGGAUGUUGAUGGUUAAAAAACGUUUUAUAAAUGAUAUUAUGAUGUAGCCAGAAUGUCGUUCCGAAUAUCAUCGAUCGGAAUGUGGUGGAUGUCGUGAUAAAUACGUAAAGCAGUAAUCAUAGGGAGUAAAUCGAAUCUUCUUUUAAAAUCGCAAUCGCUUAGUAGGUAAAGUGUAUAUAUAAUUUUUUUUUUAGUCCGCGAAUUCGGGAGUGAAGUGCGCGUUAUAAAAAAAAUCGUACAAACUGAAAAUCUCCAUUGCAGUCAAUCAUUAAUUGGUAAGUUUUUUUUCUCACUAUUUUAGUCUAUUUUAAAUUACUGGUAUAUCAUAUCGUAUUCU